UACAGAGGUCCCAAGCGUUGUUCGGAUUCACUGGGCGUAAAGGGUGCGUAGGUGGUGAGGAAAGUUCGAUGUGAAAGCUCCGAGCUUAACUCGGAAAUGGCAUUGAAAACUACCUUGACUAGAGGGUUGGAAGGGGACGUGGAAUUGCUCGGUGUAGCAGUGAAAUGCGUAGAUAAUCAGGAGGAACACCGGUGGCGAAGGCGGGUCUCUGGGCCGUAACUGGACGCUGGAGACGCGAAAGCGUGGGGAGCAAACAGG
rnacentral:rRNA from 1 species